AAACACUUCUGACAUUAUCUUUACAGGGAAGAUUUUCUAAUGGCUGGUGUUGAGGCCUUAGCUGAUGACCUAGAUUUGGAUCCUUUUGAAGAAAGUUUCAAAUCCAUGGAUCUAGCUACGGAUGCAGUCCAAAUUGAUGAGGACCAAGCAAACAACUUACUCAACAGUGUGCUGGGAUCCUAAAGGGAAUUUCCAUCCUACUUGUGUGGCUGAAGGACAUCUUCAGCCAAUUU